GACGAACGCUGGCGGCGUGCUUAACACAUGCAAGUCGAACGGAAAGGCCCUGCUUUUGUGGGGUGCUCGAGUGGCGAACGGGUGAGUAACACGUGAGUAACCUGCCCUUGACUUUGGGAUAACUUCAGGAAACUGGGGCUAAUACCGGAUAGGAGCUCCUGCUGCAUGGUGGGGGUUGGAAAGUUUCGGCUGUUGGGGAUGGACUCGCGGCUUAUCAGCUUGUUGGUGGGGUAGUGGCUUACCAAGGCUUUGACGGGUAGCCGGCCUGAGAGGGUGACCGGCCACAUUGGGACUGAGAUACGGCCCAGACUCCUACGGGAGGCAGCAGUGGGGAAUAUUGCACAAUGGGCGGAAGCCUGAUGCAGCAACGCCGCGUGCGGGAUGACGGCCUUCGGGUUGUAAACCGCUUUCGCCUGUGACGAAGCGUGAGUGACGGUAAUGGGUAAAGAAGCACCGGCUAACUACGUGCCAGCAGCCGCGGUGAUACGUAGGGUGCGAGCGUUGUCCGGAUUUAUUGGGCGUAAAGGGCUCGUAGGUGGUUGAUCGCGUCGGAAGUGUAAUCUUGGGGCUUAACCCUGAGCGUGCUUUCGAUACGGGUUGACUUGAGGAAGGUAGGGGAGAAUGGAAUUCCUGGUGGAGCGGUGGAAUGCGCAGAUAUCAGGAGGAACACCAGUGGCGAAGGCGGUUCUCUGGGCCUUUCCUGACGCUGAGGAGCGAAAGCGUGGGGAGCGAACAGGCUUAGAUACCCUGGUAGUCCACGCUGUAAACGGUGGGUACUAGGUGUGGGGUCCAUUCCACGGGUUCCGUGCCGUAGCUAACGCUUUAAGUACCCCGCCUGGGGAGUACGGCCGCAAGGCUAAAACUCAAAGGAAUUGACGGGGCCCCGCACAAGCGGCGGAGCAUGCGGAUUAAUUCGAUGCAACGCGUAGAACCUUACCUGGGUUUGACAUGGAUCGGGAGUGCUCAGAGAUGGGUGUGCCUCUUUUGGGGUCGGUUCACAGGUGGUGCAUGGCUGUCGUCAGCUCGUGUCGUGAGAUGUUGGGUUAAGUCCCGCAACGAGCGCAACCCUUGUUCACUGUUGCCAGCACGUUAUGGUGGGGACUCAGUGGAGACCGCCGGGGUCAACUCGGAGGAAGGUGGGGAUGACGUCAAGUCAUCAUGCCCCUUAUGUCCAGGGCUUCACGCAUGCUACAAUGGCUGGUACAGAGAGUGGCGAGCCUGUGAGGGUGAGCGAAUCUCGGAAAGCCGGUCUCAGUUCGGAUUGGGGUCUGCAACCCGACCUCAUGAAGUCGGAGUCGCUAGUAAUCGCAGAUCAGCAACGCUGCGGUGAAUACGUUCCCGGG
rnacentral:rRNA from 1 species